rnacentral:rRNA from 1 species
AUGGUCAGGCGAGCGGCGGCGCCAAAGCGGAGGGCUGACAAUGGGCGGACGAAGAUCGCCAUCCGGCGGAUCGAGAAGAAGGGCGCCCGGCAGGUAUGCUUCGCCAAGCGCCGGCAGGGCCUGUUUAACAAGGCCAACGAGCUGGCGUUUGGUGGCAGCAGCAGUGGCAACGCCGGGAUGGGGAUGCAACAGAUGCAGAUGGCGGUGCCUUCGACGCAGGGGUUCACCGACGGGAUGCAUAUGCACCAGAUGCUAAUGGCAAUGCCUCCGCCGCCGGGCUUGGCCUACGGGGUGGAUAUGCAGCAGAUGCAUAUGUCCAUUCCUCCAUCGCCCGUUUUUGGCGCCGGGACGGAGAUGCAGCAGAUGGUUAUGGCGAUGCAGCCGCAACCAGACUUCGCCGCCGAGACGGAGAUGCAGCAGGCGGCUAUGGCGAUGCCGCCGCCGCCGGAGUUUCCUGUUGGGAUGGCGAUGCCUCCGCCGCCGCUGAAGUUUCCUGUUGGGAUGGCGAUGCCUCCGCCGCCAGGGGUCGCCGCCGGGAUG